rnacentral:lncRNA from 1 species
AGAUUAAGAGACUCUAGACUAUUAUUAUCAACCUGCUAUACAAAAAGAAAUCUGCUCUCCUCGUCUAAAUCAAGCUCAAAAGCGUUAUCUAAGUUAUUUUUCCUGUUGACAACAAUCUUACAUUUAAAAUCCUGAAAACUUGUAUGUAUAAGCCGAUCAUCAUUUCCAGCUAAUUAGCUCUAUUCCUCUACAUCUGUGCACCAGCUGCUUA